GGAGGAUUAAAACAACAUAAUGGACUCUUCAGAGGAAACAUCUGAAGUCCUGAACCCGAUACUUACCUUCAUAUUGUCACUGGAUUGAGCGAGGUUGGAGAAGGAGCUGAAGGAAGGGAGCGCAGCCUUUGUAACAGCCAUCAAGCACUUUGCUACAACGGCAGUUGUCAGUGGUAGCAACAAAAGUUUUGACCGUUGGAGGAGGUGGAGCGUAAGCAGCUACUUACAGACAUUCAAUGUGAAUACACG